GUGCAUGAUGAACCUGCUGAGC
rnacentral:miRNA from 1 species